UCCGGCAUGGUGUAGUGGCUAGCAUUUCCGCCUCUCAAUUUGAGCUGUCACAGCGAAAAUGAUAAAUAAAUAAAAAAUAGGUCGCGGGAGACCGGGGUUCAAUUCCCCGUACCGGAA
rfam:Sclerotinia sclerotiorum 1980 scaffold_25 genomic scaffold, whole genome shotgun sequence.